rnacentral:rRNA from 1 species
CCAAUAGCGUAUAUUAAAGUUGUUGCAGUUAAAAAGCUCGUAGUUGAAUUUCGGGAUCAGUUGGUCGGUCGUGCCUCGGUACGUACUGGUCAAAUUGAUUCCUACCUUCUGACGAACCACGAUGUCAUUAAUUUGGUGUCGCGGGAAAUCAGGACUGUUACUUUGAAAAAAUUAGAGUGUUUAAAGCAGGCUCGCGCUUGAAUACAUUAGCAUGGAAUAAUGAAAUAGGACGUUUGAUUCUAUUUUGUUGGUUUUUAGGAUCGACGUAAUGAUUAAUAGGGAUAGUUGGGGGCAUUAGUAUUCAAUUGUCAGAGGUGAAAUUCUUGGAUUUAUUGAAGACUACCUACUGCGAAAGCAUUUGCCAAGGAUGUUUUCAUUAAUCAAGAACGAAAGUUAGGGGAUCGAAGACGAUCAGAUACCGUCGUAGUCUUAACCAUAAACUAUGCCGACUAGGGAUCGGAUGAUGUUAAUUUUUUAAUGACUCAUUCGGCGCCUUACG